GGAGGGUACAGCUCAGUGGCAGAGUGUGUGCUUAGCAUGCACGAGGUCCUGGGUUCAAUCCCCAGCACCUCCU
rnacentral:tRNA from 1 species